AUGGCUGUUUUUAACACUGAAAACAUUGGUGCUGCAGUUUGGAUUGCCCUCAAGAGGCUCGAUCUCAAUGAUAACAGGAUCAUAGCUCUCCGGGAGGUUCACAUUCCAAGUGGAGCCCAAGUCACCAGCGUGAGACAAAUACUAGCUCAUUCUUUCAGGCUUGACACUUCUCAGAAAAUAUUUAAGAUACGAAACAAUCGAGGAUGCCUAAUCCCAUUCAAUUCCUGCAUGCCACCAAACAGCAAGCAAAUGCCGUACGUCCUUGAAGUGGCCAAAAUCUACCAGCACGUCAAUCCAAGACCCAGAAGUGUUCCUGUGCCUGUUAUUAAUAAAACCCUGAAGUCGAGACUACAGAGCAUCGUGAAAAGGACUGAAAGAUUAGAAGAACUGUUGCCUCAAAUCAAACUGAAACACCAUGAAAGGCGGACAAAGGAUAUUGAGUUGCUGAAUCAAAAGCUGGUAUUUCUUCACAAACGAAUGCAGAUGGCUGAGUCGUAUAGCUGGGAGGGGAUGUUGAGAAGAGCUCCAAUCUGGUGAAUGACGCUUGAACCGGUGCCUUUCACUGACUAACAAACAUCUUAGAGAGUAGAAUCAGGCUGCUCAGUCCUUCUGGAGUUAUAAAUUAUGUAUUUUAUCUGUGCAGUCAGAUUUCAAAUGCAUGGAUGCGGUUUCAUUAUAUACGUCAUCUACAGAUAAAUGCUGCAUGAGAUUUUCUCAGAAUAUACUUCACUUUUCUGAGCUAUUCUUUUUUGCGAAACCUUUCAUCCAGUUGGUGUUUUAGUGAUUUUUAGUGGAUGUAUGACAUCAGUUCUCCUGAGAUUCACGCAAGUGUCACGCAGCAGAGUUAUGAUCCACUAACAUUUCAUAAUCCAUUCAAGAUGUAGAUGAGUGUGAUUUACUGAUUUGGAGAAAUUUAGCAUUACAUCACUUGCUCAGCAAUCGAUCCUCUGCAGCGAAUGGGUGCCGUCAGAAUGAGAGUCCAAACAGCUGAUAAAAACAUCACAAAUUCAUGGAAAGAUGGCAAAAUUUAAAUGUACUGAACAUAUAUUUAAUAAAAACAGAGAAAAUGUGUGAUUAAUAUCUGUA
ensembl:lncRNA